rnacentral:rRNA from 1 species
UACGAAGGGGGCUAGCGUUGCUCGGAAUCACUGGGCGUAAAGCGCACGUAGGCGGCUUUUUAAGUCAGGGGUGAAAUCCCGGAGCUCAACUCCAGAACUGCCUUUGAUACUGAGAAGCUUGAGUCCGGGAGAGGUGAGUGGAACUGCGAGUGUAGAGGUGAAAUUCGUAGAUAUUCGCAAGAACACCAGUGGCGAAGGCGGCUCACUGGCCCGGUACUGACGCUGAGAUGCGAAAGCGUGGGGAGCAAACAGG